rnacentral:rRNA from 1 species
UUUGAAAGGGAAACGAUUGAAGUCAGUCGUACCUGCGGGUAAUCAGCCUUUUGGGUGUGAUUAUGUGGAGCGUGAGGAGCUAAUCGCCUUCAUCUUUGCAUAUUCGUGCACUUUGGGUGUACUUGCUCGUGUGGUAGGUUAACAUCAAUUUUGAUCAUCAUAAAAUGAUUGAAGGAAUGUAGCUUCGAUCUCGUAUUGAAGUGUUAUAGCCUUUGGUAGAUGUGAUGAUCGGGAUUGAGGAUUGCAACGGAUACCCUUCGGGGCUACCCGUCUGAUCUCUGAAAGUUGCUCUGGUGCUGAAAGCUUGCUUAUGGUAUCAAAGUGACGUCAAUAGUG